rnacentral:tRNA from 1 species
AUUUAAAUAGCUUAAAUUAGAGCAUAAUGCUGAAGAUAUUAAGGUGGUUAAUAACCUUUAAAUA